GGAUCAGCUUGAAUUUUAAUAAAAAUCCAACACAUUUCAUAAAGCUCCUGUCAUAGGUUCUGGAAGCUCAUUUCCUAUAGUAGCAACUUCCCUUUACUCUAGCAUGCUCUUUGCUGGCCUUGGUUGCAGGCCAAGGGUGAAAGGAAUCUAGAAUGGAUGAAAGAGGAGAUAGAUUAUAAAUACCAACUAUAGCUUUGGGACCACUGCAGCAGUGUGGAGUAUAACCCGUUCUAUUAACUUUCCUGAAUUGAGUCUUUUGUAGAUUGUUGCCAGCCACCAUCUUGAAGGCUUUGGAUUGGACUUCAUGUAGGACACAGUGGAUCUUGUGGUACGGGUGAACUGCAGUGGACAUCUCUUAUGCUCCACUUCACAUCCUCUCAGCCCAUCUUUUACUAGUGGCAUUACAAUGGCCUAUACAACCUCCUCUUCAGGAAGACAGCUGUGAGAGAUACUUUAUGGCUCUUUAGAAUAUCCCAGCAGCAUCAAGCCUUGGGCAUUCACAAUGACGAUCAACUUGAUAACAUGGCCUUUUCUCCCUUCUUUCUCUUCUGUUUUCUAGAUUGUCUCUUAAGUAAGCUGUCUUAAGGGGCCAUCCGGGAUUAGUCUUGCCUGUUACAUGCUUCAUUGGAAGUUCUUAAGGCUACAGUUGGGCUUGAAGAUUUGCAAGAAAGACUCACAGAACUCAAAAGAGCUGGUAUGUUCAUGAUUACUGCUUAUUACAGAGAAAUGAGUACAUACUAAAACCGGCAAAUGGGAAAGGUAUAUGAGACAAUGUCCAGGAGAUACCAGGCACAAGCUUCUGGGUGGAGUUGUAUGGGAAUGCAUUUAAUCCUCCAAGCAAUGGUAUGUGACAACAUGUGUGAAUUAUUGCCAGUCAGGAAAGCUCACAUAAGUCUUGGUAUCCAGGGUUAUUAUUGCAAAUUGGUCAGGUAGGCAUGGCUGACUUUAAUUGCUCAGCCUACAGCCCCACCCCUCUACUUAUGUCAAAUUGAUACAGCAUGGUCCAGGACCCUCUGGCAUAUGAAAACACGCUUCAUCAGGCAGGAUAUUCCAAGGGCUCAGA
rnacentral:lncRNA from 1 species